UUACUAACUUUACAACGUGUACAGACGCCAGUUACUUUCUCUCAAUCCGUUUCACUUCGCUGUCACCUCAACAACCAGUUCAAUUAUCACUUUUCUGUCUUUCCAUGUUCAACUGCAAUAUGUUUUAGCUUCAUUUUAAAAGAGAGUUAGGAUAUUGCUGACGAUAUCUCGACCCUGAGAUGUGGAACGGCGACCUUGUCUCGCUGUUCGACAUGUUGACAAUUAACUGACAAAGGUGCACCCCUUCACAAUAAUAGGACUCUAACCAUCUGUGACACGGUCAUGCAAUUCAUUAGUAUUCACUGGAUCAGGUCAAGCUGAAUGAGCUGUAGUGAUGCCUUUCAGUGAACGCUGACAGAAAUGGAUACAAAUUUAGUAAUAAUGGUUGACCACUGCUAGCACACAGCACCGCAAGUAAUGGCACUUGUCUAUUCUCCAACAUCCCAGGUAAUAAUGGUUGACCACUUCUAGCACACAGCACCGGAAGUAAUGGCACUUGUCUAUUCUCCAACAUCCCAGGUAAUAAUGGUUGACCACUGCUAGCACACAGCACCGGAAGUAAUGGCACGUGUCUAUUCUCCAACAUCUCAGGUAAUAAUGGUUGACCACUGCUAGCACACAGCACCGGAAGUAAUGGCACGUGUCUAUUCUCCAACAUCUCAGGUAAUAAUGGUUGACCACUGCUAGCACACAGCACCGGAAGUAAUGGCACUUGUCUGUUCUCCAACAUUCCAGGUAAUAAUGGUUGACCACUGCUAGCACACAGCACCGCAAGUAAUGGCACUUGUCUAUUCUCCAACAUCCCAGGUAAUAAUGGUUGACCACUGCUAGCACACAGCACCGGAAGUAAUGGCACUUGUUUAUUCUCCAACUUCCCAGGUAAUAAUGG